UACCUGGUUGAGUCUUGAUGAAACUGACUGUGUUGCAGGCCUGCCCACGGUGGUGAAACUGGUGGACAAGGAGACAUUACUGAAGGAGCGAGAGGAGAAGAAGCAGAUGGAGGAGGAGAAGAAAAGGAAGAAGGAAGAAGCUGCCAGGAAGAAACAAGAACAAGAGAUGGCUAAACUGGCCAAGAUGAAGGUCCCUCCGUGUGACAUGUUUCGCACAGAAACAGAAAAAUAUUCCAAAUUCGAUGAGCUGGUAAAUCUCUUGUGUACUUUUCACUCUGAAUUUCAAAAUAUAUAUUUUAUAGCAUGA